CAUCCAUAACCUAUAGCUCAAACCCUAACCAUUCAACUUUAUCAUAUCACUCCAGCGAACGACGAUGUCUCACUUCGGCAGAACAGGCCCUCCGGACAUCAAAGAUACCUUCUCUCUUCUCGUUCUCAACGUUACUUUCCGUACCACCGCUGAUGACUUGUUUCCUUUAUUCGAUAAGUAUGGAAAAGUCGUCGAUGUCUUUAUCCCUAGGGACCGAAGGACUGGAGAUUCUAGGGGUUUUGCAUUUGUACGCUACAAGUAUCAGGAUGAGGCUCAAAAGGCAGUGGAAAAGCUCGAUGGAAGAGUUGUAGAUGGUCGAGAAAUAAUGGUUCAAUUUGCAAAGUACGGCCCAAAUGCUGAAAGAAUUGACAAAGGUAGAAUUUUGGAGCCUGUACAUAGUACAAGAGGAAGGUCAAGAAGCCGCAGUCCUAGUUCAAGGCAUCGUGAUCAUUAUAGGGAAAAGGAUUCUAAAAGGAGAAGCCGAAGUAGAAGUAGGGACAGGUAUGACCGUGAUAGGUACCGUGGGAGAGACAAGGAUUACCGUCAUAAGAGCAGAAGCCGCAGCCCUGAUUACCGCAAAGAUCGCGAGAGAGGUAAAUAUGAUGAGGAGAGGCGCAGCCGAAGCCGGUGUCAUAGAAGUGUGUCCCCUGCUCGCCGUAGCCUCAGUCCUCGGAGGAGCCUUUCUCCACGUAGAACAACCCCUUCUAGGGAUGCUAGUCCAGCUGGACGUAACCACAAGGACCGGUCUCCAACUCCAAAGAGUGUCUCACCGCGGGGUAGACGUGGUGGUUCUCGCAGCCCCUUGCCGCAUUCUGAUGCUGAUGAUUAAGGAGCGAAGGAGAAGGCCAUGAAUGUAAUCUGGUUCUGGUCGAUGUUGCGUAUCAAGAGUACAUUCCCAAAUGAAGGAUCCUUUCAUCUAUUUUCUGCUUGCUAGAACUGAUUGGCCCGUCUUAUUUAUAAGGAUACUUGCAUGGAAUAUUGUGAUAUUAUACCUUGUUGUAAUUUACUUAUGAUGGAAAUUAUUGGCCUUCUAUAGUUGGGUCCGUGAAAAAUCAAUGUGGCUGAAUUGCAAGAUGAUACAGCAGCUGUUGAUGCUGUUAUAUUUGCUGUUGGUUGUAAUUUUGUUGCUGGUCACAAACUACCAUUUCUUCGCUGAAUGGCAAGGAGAUGCUGCAGCUGUAGAUGCUGUUUUGACUUGGUUGAUUAUAAUUUGUUGCUGGUGACAUACUACUGUUUGUUGGUUGAAUGGCAAGCAUAUGCAGCAGCUGUUGAUGCUGUUUUAGCUUUGUUGUUGUAAUUUGUUGCUGGUGACAAAAUACCAUUUCUAUACAAAUGUUCAGGAUUCUCAUGAUCGCGCGUGAGUUCAUGCUUACACCCGUGAAGUUCUAGCUGAUCUCUGUAGAUCUUUUGUUGCUGUUAGCUGAUAGCCUAGCAAACUGAUGCUGUUUUUUGGCGUUAAUGGUCUGCUUGAUGUGUACAGUUGGACCCUCUGCAUGUUGUUCAUGCACCUUCUGCAGGAGCUAAGUUGUGUGUUUAUGUUGUGCUGAGUCACCUCAGAUAUGCACCAUCUGCGUCUCUUAUUGGUUAUUUUUCAGUGGAACAUGUGCACAUUGCCGACUUGGAGAUCUGACAGUUUCCUGUGAGAGUGUUAAUCUAUCAGAACUUAACCUUCUUUUACUCCGUCUGCUUGUGGCUUGAUGCAUGUAUCUCACCUUUCUUGUUAUCAUGGCAUUUAGAGGUAGAAUUGGGGCGUUUGAUAGCGACUAGGGUAUUACAUUACUAUAGUCCAGUGUGAUAACCCUUUGUCGGUUAGGGUUUCAAUAUGGUGGUGUUUUAGAACUUUGGUACUGAUGUAGUGGGGUAAACUACUGUGUUAAAAGGCACUCUCUCCCUAGGAAUUUGUGCUCUUCCAUAGGGCUUCCGAAUUGUAAGUGCUUCCAUAUUGGACAAGUUCUAUGCUAGAUGGCUAUGGAUUUGGCUAGCUUGAUGAGGAAGUUUGGGAAGGUAACAAGAUACUGCUUAGGGAGUAUCUGUUUUUCCUGUUAUGCUUUACUCCGCAGGGUUGGCUCUUUAUGUUUGGUUAAUAAGGCAGUAAUAAGAAGUUCAAAAGCAAAGUUGUUGAUGGCCAUGUCAUAUAUAUAUAUUUGCCUUCCUAUUGCCCGUUGA